rnacentral:rRNA from 1 species
UACGUAGGGCGCAAGCGUUGUCCGGAAUUAUUGGGCGUAAAGAGCUCGUAGGUGGUUUGUUACGUCUGCUGUGAAAACCUAGGGCUUAACCCUGGGCCUGCAGUGGAUACGGGCAGACUAGAGGUAGGUAGGGGAGAAUGGAAUUCCCGGUGUAGCGGUGAAAUGCGCAGAUAUCGGGAGGAACACCGGUGGCGAAGGCGGCCUGCUGGGCAGUAGCUGACGCUGAUGCGCGACAGCGUGGGGAGCAAACAGG